rnacentral:rRNA from 1 species
AUUGAACGCUGGCGGCAGGCCUAACACAUGCAAGUCGAGCGGAUGAGGGAAGCUUGCUUCCCGAUUUAGCGGCGGACGGGUGAGUAAUGCAUCGGAACGUACCCAGUCAUGGGGGAUAACGUAGCGAAAGCUACGCUAAUACCGCAUACGCCCUGAGGGGGAAAGCGGGGGAUCGCAAGACCUCGCGGGAUUGGAGCGGCCGAUGUCGGAUUAGCUAGUUGGUGGGGUAAAGGCCUACCAAGGCGACGAUCCGUAGCGGGUCUGAGAGGAUGAUCCGCCACACUGGGACUGAGACACGGCCCAGACUCCUACGGGAGGCAGCAGUGGGGAAUUUUGGACAAUGGGCGCAAGCCUGAUCCAGCCAUGCCGCGUGAGUGAAGAAGGCCUUCGGGUUGUAAAGCUCUUUCAGACGGAAAGAAAACGGGGGUGUUAAUACCGCCCCCGGAUGACGGUACUGUCAGAAGAAGCACCGGCUAACUACGUGCCAGCCGCCGCUGUAAAAC